CUCAAAGGAAUUGACGGGGGCCCGCACAAGCAGUGGAGUAUGUGGUUUAAUUCGAAGCAACGCGAAGAACCUUACCAGGUCUUGACAUCCGAUGCAUAGUACAGAGAUGUAUGAAGUCCUUCGGGACAUCGAGACAGGUGGUGCAUGGUUGUCGUCAGCUCGUGUCGUGAGAUGUUGGGUUAAGUCCCGCAACGAGCGCAACCCUUAUUGCCAGUUACUACGCAAGAGGACUCUGGCGAGACUGCCGUUGACAAAACGGAGGAAGGUGGGGAUGACGUCAAAUCAUCAUGCCCUUUAUGACCUGGGCUACACACGUACUACAAUGGCGUUUAACAAAGAGAAGCAAUACCGCGAGGUGGAGCAAAACUCAAAAACAACGUCUCAGUUCAGAUUGCAGGCUGCAACUCGCCUGCAUGAAGGCGGAAUCGCUAGUAAUCGCAGGUCAGCAUACUGCGGUGAAUCCGUUCCGGUCGACGCGGCCG
rnacentral:rRNA from 1 species